rnacentral:rRNA from 1 species
UACGGAGGGGGCUAGCGUUGUUCGGAUUUACUGGGCGUAAAGCGCACGUAGGCGGAUUGUUAAGUCAGGGGUGAAAUCCCAGAGCUCAACUCUGGAACUGCCUUUGAUACUGGCAAUCUCGAGUCCGGAAGAGGUGAGUGGAACUCCUAGUGUAGAGGUGGAAUUCGUAGAUAUUAGGAAGAACACCAGUGGCGAAGGCGGUUCUCUGGGCCUUACCUGACGCUGAGGAGCGAAAGCGUGGGGAGCAAACAGG